CUAAUGUGUACGUGCAAUGUUAUAAUUACCUUUCCUUUUGACAAGGAUGCGUUAAGUGUGGCUGUAAUAUGGGAACUCCUUUCAGCUUUCAUUAACUCAAUAUAAAUCCAAAGCUUGCAGAUUCAGCAGAGUUGUCUAUAGUGGCUUAAUUGGAAUUGCUGGACAAGAACAUUGAUUCUGCUUCACUCAGGUAAAGAUGAAAGUAACUGCAACAAUGGAUAUUGCAUUUGAAGGUCAUUGAGUUGUAGUCAGGCAAGGGGAGCAGAUAUUAAAACAUACACGCACAAAAUAAUGGGAUUUUUAUUUAGCAUCUCGCAAGUCUUGAGUAACAUAGUAUUAAUUGACCUUGAGAUUUCAUUCUUUUGUGACUCAUUGCAUUUGCUUUUGUGUUUCAGAUUAAUAUAGAAUAUUUUAAAGAAAGAGUAAUACAGCCAAUUUUAAUCUCUGGGAAGUUUAUGCAAGACAUAAUUUAUUUGUAAACUUUAUAAUAAUAUGUGAAUUAAAGACCCUUGUUAGUUUGGUAUGAAUCUGACAUAAGGGCUAAAAUCACUUUUUCAUUAGCCUUCUCCUGAUCUCAGGUUUACACCUAAGAGAUUCUUCACUCCAAAGUCUUCAUUUCCAAGCACAACCUGCUGGGUGCUGCGCUUUUCUGAGGUCUCCUCCCCAGCUCUGCAUCUAGCAGUGCUCAUGAUGCAAUGAUUUCCUGUCUGACUAUCCCAUUCCUAUCCUUUGCAAAGUUCACAUAGACCCAUUUGAGUACACUUUUAGUAGCAUACCAAGUUUAAGUGCCAAAGUUGUGUUUUAGUUCUUUCAUCCAGAAAGAAAACAUCAGCUGUUUCAAAUUUUAGAGUCCAGCUUGGGCAACAAGAGAAUUGUCAUGUCGUCGAUUGUGUAGUAAGACACAGUGAGUGUCCAGCAAUGUAAAAUCAGUCUAUAAAUGAGAAGAUUAAGACCAAAAGCAUCGGGUUACAAACAUCUCACUAAAGCCCAUUAGCAGGCAGAGAGCUCUCCGCGGAGCUAGAAAAUGAGACUUUUCCCUCCUUUCUGCCCCAUACAUUAGUGCUGAUCUCAGGAGCUCAUUUUUGCACCCUUUGUGGCAGACAACCAUAUAAUCAAAGGGUUCCCAUCACUAAAUCAUUUGAAAAGACAAGUAGAAAUUAGCUUUAGCUAAUUUAACUAGCCUUUGCCCCUCCUCCUGACCCUGAGGGUGAAGCACAUUUUAUCAUUCAUCCUCUGGGGGCUGGCUUAUGCUGGCUCCCUUUCCUUUGGCAGUGAUUUUAAGCAACCAAGUUCUUAUUACAAUUCUCAAAUUUAAAAUUAAGUUCUGAUCACAUCUUCUCAGGGCAUACCUAAGAGGCAGUGUUUAUCCCCAGCCAAAUCAAUUGUUUCCUCAAGUGACUCAUUCCUGAAAAUGUUAUUGUUUCUAAUAACCAGCUCAAAUAUGUAUUUUCAUUAAUCUUUUCUUUUACCUCCAUUUCACACGUGUUGCUGCAUGUCAGGCAGUUUCCACAAGGAUCUGCCAUGACAUCAUUGUGUGAGGUAUGAAAAAAAAAUUUUUUUUUUUCUAAUUUAAGAAUUACUUUUACUCAGAUGGUGGCUGGGCUGGGAAAUGUUCCCCAUUGCCCUGGGAGUUUUAGGCCAAGGCUUGUGUGUGUGUGUGUGUGUGUGUGUGUGUUGGAAGGGUCUCUCAUUGCCUAUUUCUGCUUAUAUAACACACACUGGUUUAGGUAGGUGGAGUCAGAAUGGGAAGAGGAAGUUCCCUAAGUGUUUCUUGCAUGCAAAGGUAAGUGGAGAAUGCCCAUCUGGGCACACAGGGCAAGGAUGCAGUGGAGUGACCUCUCCUUUCCCCUCCAACUCACAUGCUGGAGUUUAAAAACUGUAUCAGGAUGACAGAAACCAAGGGGUAAGACCACGGCUUCCUCUGGGGAUCUUCUAUAAACUGUAAGAACAAACACAGGUAUUUUGUAGUUCUUUAUCACAACGGGUCCUUUGCUGAUGAUUCUAGGUUUUAUGACUGCUGUUUUAUGUCCUACAAAUAGUAACAGGCAUUUCCCUUUGCCCUACACCACAGUAAGCCACUGGCCUAGACAAGAAGCAACUCUGCACUGCUUUUCAAACAUCAUCCUCCCUCUCGACCGCAGGGACUAUUUGGUUUCUAUUCUACUUCUGGCCUUUCAUAUUCCUGAUGGUGCAUUGGAUGAAACCCCGCAGCCAGGCGUGUGAACGUGGUUGAAAAGACCCAUGGAGGACCAGCAACGCUUCCCCACAGCGUGGGAUGGUCCCCUCCUGAGAUGGCCCACUGUCAGCGGGACUGGUACAUGAGUUGUUUUCCCAGCUGAGAGGAUGGGUCAUAAGACCCACUUAUACUUUUUGUCCUGGUCUCUUUUUAACUAACUACACAAUUGUACAAUCCCUGGCCAGGGUCCAUGACUGAGGACAGAGUUUUCCUGUGUAGAUUUUUUUCUGCAGCAAACAUUUGCACUGAGCUGUAGGAAUAGACUGGGCAUGGCCACCAUUUUUCCAAUUCCAGUGGGAUUAUCCGGGCAAAAACUUCAGAAAACUUGUGGGAUUCUAGAGUAGGCCGAACAGGCUCAUGACACAUUCCCUGUCCUUACCAGACGCCAAGCACUGCAUCCUGUCUGCUUCUUGAACAGCCCCUUCAUUGUUUGUUCAGCUAUUCUGCUGCAUCUGCAGAUAGCCCUGCCUGAGAAACAGCCUCAAACCAGAAGGAGAGGAUGGCGGCAAGCCUUAGAGAAACAUCAAAAUUUGCUAUUAAGAAAAUAGUGAAGAAGUCUCAUCAGAGAGAAGUUAAAAGCAUACUAGUGGAUUCCUUGGGGCUGCAGAAAGAGUAGCAAAAAGUUGGAGAAAACAUCAACUACACCAAAGGAAUUUUAGGAGCUUGGUCCCCAGCAAAGCUCAUGGAAUCUCUCUCUGCAAGGAAGAGUCAGUUUUAAAAGCCCUCAGCCUGCUCUCAAUGGGUCCUGCCUCCUUCCCUGCCUGCACCCCAACACUGGGGAAAGGAGAAACCUCCGUUAGCAAGUUGGAGAAAAGGAGUUGAGGAAGGAAGAGGAUAGCCCGGCCCCCUCCCUGACUGCAGGUUUUUCUUUUUCUUUUUAACAGUGGAUUCUAGCGAGGGGAGGGCAAAUCCCUGAAACCUUGAAUGAAGUUGGAAGCCUUUACUAGUUUGUGUGUUUGGAAUUCUAAGUAGAAAUUGAGACUGUGUUUUGUGACUCAAAUGACUAAGAUUUUCUGUUACCUACGAGUGGCCAAAAUGUCAAGUAUUCAUCCGGGGGCAGGGUGAAAACUAGACCUACUGAGAAAGUUAAAAGACAAGGGGAAAACACAAUAAACCUGCUGUAUUUUUACCUCCAAAGUGUCCAUUCAAUUUACUGGCUGUAGUAGUUUGAAAGCAAGGUUCUGUGAUAUCAUUCCAGAGUUGAGAGUAACAAAAGCUGAUAAUUGUAAAUGCAGCACUAUCCAAUGGAAAUAUAAUGCAAAUUAUAUGCGUGACUUAACAUUUUUU
rnacentral:lncRNA from 10 species